rnacentral:lncRNA from 1 species
CCAUGUAAUAAUAGCCUCUCUACGCAUAGUUUGGUAGAGUAGUAAUUAAAAUAACUUUGCAAUUACAAAUGGUUUGCUAUUUAAGAAGUCAGUAGUAAAUUUUUUAAAUAAAAAAUUAUGCUUAGCUAAAUAAUACUAUAAUAGUAUAAUAAUCUCUAUCUAUAAAACAUAAUUAUAACAUCCGGGAUGCUUAAUCUAAUAUCUCC